rnacentral:snRNA from 1 species
GGAUGCGAAGGUGACCCGUCAGUGACAUCUGUCUGUCAUUGAUCAUUGGGGUUGACUCAACUGCUUUGUCUGGUUACACGGGUGUCUCCUUCCUCCCUCACAGGUCCAGAAGAUGGUGACCUCCCUGAUAAAGGGGGUUCACUCUUCGGUCAAGGGUAUAUAAAUAGCUGUCCUCCCCUGCUAGAGCCUCAAAAACAAGCCCUCAAAAAUUCUGGUGCUACCCCCAGGAUCUAUAAGCUCUUUCAUGGUCAAUCCUGACAUCAAGGACUGUUACAGUCUAGCCU